UCCCUCCUCAGCUAAACCUUUCUGGGAAC
rnacentral:piRNA from 1 species